ACGUCCUGAAGGAAUGUACUUCACGCACCCAGUAGUUUAAAUCAUCGACAGGAAUUUAUUUGACCAUUCCGAAUUGAAUCUGUACCUCGAGAGCUACAAUAUGUAAGAUAAGACUAUACUAGUAGUGGGUAUUAACACGCUGAAUGUUUUGUGUUUAGGUUCUGCAUUCAAGGGUGCAGUUCUACGGUCAGCGAUGGCAGACUCGACUUCGGAAGCUACAACAAGAGGAAGGGGAAUGGCAAGAAAAAAGCUGAUAUAUUGGACAGACACCGAUGUGGGUGUUCCUGCCGGCGGCGGUGAGAGGUAUCUUGACGGGCGACUCUCCGAUGACAAUGUUCUUGAUGCAGCCGGUGAAGCCGCGACGAGAGCGAACUCCGCGCACCCGGUGUAACGGCUUCUCGUGCCCGCCGAUGUACAGAGACGACCGAGUGUCGGUGGAAGCGUACGCGCCCAGACCCGGCUUAGAGAAGUGCCCGUCGACGCCCACCGAUACUACGUACAGAGACUUCACCACUGCAAACAGAUAAAUGCUUAUUAUUACAAAGAAAAUCAAAUAAAUAAAUGUACAAAAUGAG